rnacentral:lncRNA from 12 species
CCCCCCCCCCCCCCCCCCCCCCCCCCCCCCCCCCCCCCCCCCCCCCCCCCCCCCCCAAAAUUAAAAUGUUUAUGGUUGAGGGGAGAACGGUUUGGAGGAGAGGAGGAGGACGGAGAGGUGGGAGCUGGAAUUGCAGCCCUGCCAGGAGCCUCCAUCCCGUGCCAGGGGCCGGGGAGGAGCAGGAAUCUGGGAAUCGCUGCUGUUCCCGUGGGAACGGGGGUGCUGAGCUGCACUGGGGGGGUCUCCAGGGCAGGGGGGGAUCACUUUGGGGUGACCCAAGGAAGGAAGGAGAAGUUCUCUUAAAGCUGCUUUUAGGGAAAGGUGUUGGAGGCUGCGCUCAGUGACUGUCCCUGGGGCGUUUUGGGGUCGGGUUUUGGGGUCUGGGGGGGCGGCUCUGCCCCUCCCUGCAUUCCCAGCUCCGCGGGUGGGGCUGUGCUGGGAAGGGUCGGGGGGCCCUGCCCUGUGUCCCCCCCCAGGCUCCCAGCUCGGCUGCUUGGCUUUUCUCCCCCGAAAUUCCAGGGCUGAAAUUGCUUGUUCAGGAGCCUCCCAGAGCCAGGCUCCCAACUUCACACCAAAGUAUGUAGCAGAAUCUGUACAGCUGUUAAUAACUACCACUGGUUUAAGUGUCUCUGAACCCUGUGAUCCAUGGAAUUCACGGGGGUGGGGGGAAGGCAGGAGCAGGGGAGGGUUGGGGGGCACAGGACCCCCCAGACAGGGACCCCUGAGCUGGGAUGGAGCCCAGGAGUGACGGGAGAGGUUCCAGCAUCUCCCCAUCCCACAGGCUGUGCUGCACAGCCCAGCCCCGCCCUGCCUUUGCCAGCCCCAGGCGCUCCUGCUCCUGCUCCUGCUCCUGCCAGGAUUUUGGGGUGCUGGGAUCAGGGAUCCACUGGGAUCAGGAUUUUGGGGUGCUGGGAUCAGGAUUUAGGGUGCAGGGAAAGGUCUGAGCUCAGGGAUCCUGCUAGGAUCAGGAUUUUGGGGUGCUGGGAUCAGGAUUUUGGGGUGCUGGGAUCAGGGAUCCUGCUGGGAUCAGGAUUUUGGGGUGCUGGGAUCAGGGAUCCUGCUGGGAUCAGGAUUUUGGGGUGCUGGGAUCAGGGAUCCUGCUGGGAUCAGGAUUUUGGGGUGCUGGGAUCAGGGAUCCUGCUGGGAUCAGGAUUUUGGGGUGCUGGGAUCGGGAUUUUGGGGUGCUGGGAUCGGGAUUUUCCGGGUGUUUGGGAGGAGCUGCUGGACUCUCCCAUCCCCAUUUGCGCUCUUAGCCAGCUCCCAGAUUUUACAAUCCAGUUCUCCCCAUCCCCGCGCCGGAAUUGCGAAUUCUGAAUUCACGAGGGCUUUGUGGGCUGCCAGGCGGGGCUGGAAAGGGCUGGAAAAGGGAGUGGGGGCGGGUCCCCCAGGAUGCUGAGGGGGGGAAGGUGGCAGCCUGGCACGCGGCGUUUGGGGUGGCACUGCCCGGCCCCCCCCCCCCCCCCCCCCCCCCCCCCCCCCCCCCCCCCCCCCCCCCCCCCCC